rfam:Anolis carolinensis unplaced genomic scaffold chrTn0054, whole genome shotgun sequence.
CCAUACAAAUAUGGUUCUAAACACUCUAAGGCACCCAAUCCUGUCUGAUCUUUGAAGCUAAUUACGGUUAGGUCUGGUUAGUAUUUGGAUAGGAGACCACCAAGGAAUACCAGGUGCUGUAGGGU